rnacentral:rRNA from 1 species
UACGGAGGGUGCGAGCGUUAUCCGGAAUCACUGGGUUUAAAGGGUGCGUAGGCGGCGAGGUAAGUCAGUUGUGAAAUUCUCCGGCUCAACCGGGUGGACUGCGAUUGAUACUGCUUUGCUUGAAACAGGUUGAGGUAAGCGGAAUGUGGCAUGUAGCGGUGAAAUGCAUAGAUAUGCCAUAGAACACCGAUUGCGAAGGCAGCUUGCUGGGCCUAGUUUGACGCUGAGGCACGAAAGCGUGGGGAGCAAACAGG